rnacentral:rRNA from 1 species
UACAGAGGAGCCAAGCGUUGUCCGGAUUGACUGGGCGUAAAGCGCACGCAGGCGGACGCGCGCGUGGGGUGUGAAAUCUGGCCGCUUAACGGCCAGACGCCAUCCCAUACGGCUGGGCUCGAGCCCUGCAGAGGUCCAUGGAAUUGCCGGUGUAGUGGUGAAAUGCGUAGAGAUCGGCAGGAACACCCAGGGGGAAACCAGUGGACUGGGCAGGAGCUGACGCUCAGGUGCGAAAGCGUGGGGAGCGAACCGG